rnacentral:rRNA from 1 species
AUGGAUAUAAAGUACCGCCAAGUCCUUUGAGUUUUAAGCUGUGGCUAGUAGUUCUCUGGCAAAUAGUUUUGUUAAAUUUAAUUAUUUAGGUUUAUGGCUAA